UGGGGAAUCUUGCACAAUGGGGGGAACCCUGAUCCAGCCAUGCCGCGUGGAGGAAGACUGCCCUCUGGGUUGUAAACUCCUUUUAUAUGGGAAGAACCGUCCUCAUUGAUGAGUGACCUGACGGUACCAUAGGAAUAAGCACCGGCUAACUCCGUGCCAGCAGCCGCGGUAAUACGGAGGGUGCAAGCGUUAUCCGGAUUCACUGGGUUUAAAGGGUGCGUAGGCGGAUAUGUAAGUCAGUGGUGAAAUCAACGGGCUCAACCUGUUAACUGCCAUUGAUACUGUGUAUCUUGAAUAUGAGAGAGGUAGGCGGAAUGUUGCAUGUAGCGGUGAAAUGCUUAGAUAUGCUACGGAACACCGAUUGCGAAGGCAGCUUACUAUUUCGUAAUUGACGCUGAGGCACGAAAGCGUGGGUAGCGAACA
rnacentral:rRNA from 1 species